AUACGGAAGGUCCGGGCGUUAUCCGGAUUUAUUGGGUUUAAAGGGAGCGCAGGCGGAGAUGCAAGCGUGACGUCAAAUUUCGGGGCUCAACCCCGUCUCGCGUCGCGAACUGCGUCCCUUGGUUGCGGGAAGGGGAGGCGGAACUCGUGGUGUAGCGGUGAAAUGCAUAGAUAUCACGAAGAACUCCGAUCGCGAAGGCAGCCUUCCGGCCCGUCAACGACGCUCAUGCUCGAAGGUGCGGGUAUCAAACAGGAUUAGAUACCCUGGUAGUCCGCACAGUAAACGAUGGACACCCGCGGUUUGGCCUAUAUGGCUGAGCCGCCAAGCGAAAGCGUUAAGUGUCCCACCUGGGGAGUACGCCGGCAACGGUGAAACUCAAAUGAAUUGGCGGGG
rnacentral:rRNA from 1 species